GCAUUCAGCAGAGUGAACUCCAGU
rnacentral:piRNA from 1 species